GCUCAGGACGAACGCUGGCGGCGCGCCUAACACAUGCAAGUCGAACGAGAGAUGAGGAGCUUGCUCUUCAAAUCGAGUGGCGAACGGGUGAGUAACGCGUGAGGAACCUGCCUCAAAGAGGGGGACAACAGUUGGAAACGACUGCUAAUACCGCAUAAGCCCACGGCUCGGCAUCGAGCAGAGGGAAAAGGAGCAAUCCGCUUUGAGAUGGCCUCGCGUCCGAUUAGCUGGUUGGUGAGGUAAUGGCCCACCAAGGCGACGAUCGGUAGCCGGACUGAGAGGUUGAACGGCCACAUUGGGACUGAGACACGGCCCAAACUCCUACGGGAGGCAGCAGUA
rnacentral:rRNA from 1 species